rnacentral:rRNA from 1 species
CACGUAGGGCGCAAGCGUUGUCCGGAAUUAUUGGGCGUAAAGAGCCCGUAGGCGGUCUGUUACGUCUGCUGUGAAAACCCGGGGCUUAACCCUGGGCUUGCAGUGGAUACGGGCAGACUAGAGGCAGGUAGGGGAGAAUGGAAUUCCCGGUGUAGCGGUGAAAUGCGCAGAUAUCGGGAGGAACACCGGUGGCGAAGGCGGGUCUCUGGGCCGAUACUGACGCUGAGGAGCGAAAGCAUGGGUAGCGAACAGG